rnacentral:piRNA from 1 species
UCACCAGGCAUCUGUUGGAGGAGCAAGA